CCACGACUGCGGAGACAGCGACGAGCCUGAGGCCCGGGCGAGGAGGGGCGGGGCCAGGGUACCUGAGGAGGGGCCUGGAAGGGAGUCAGGGCUCAGCCCUCAAAAAGGAGGUGGCAUCCUAAGGAGGGGCACAGGUGAGCUCUGAGAAGAGAGGCGGGGCCUGGGGAGCCACGGGUGUGAGGACCAGGGGUGAAGCCUGACGCUGACGUCGAGGCCACAGGGAUCAGGAAAGAAGGGCGGAAAUUGCGGUUUAGCCGCCCCUUCCCUCACAUGGAAGACAGACUCUCCUGGGGGGAGGUCCCCCGACACCGGAAGCUGCAGUCCUCCAGGUCUGGCUCUUGGAAGAAGGGAAGACUGGGAUCAGCGGGGAGGAGUGCUCGCUGCCUCAGGGUCAGUGCCCCCGAGGCUGAAGGCACCACUGGCUUCUUUCAGAUCCGCCACCCAAUUCCUUUCCUGGGAUCUUCAGAGUUAUAGAAAUUUAAGGUCAAGACAGACCUGGAUUAAACUUAAACCUGACACCAA